CUCUACGCCGCCGCCGGUAUCACUCCGCUCCGCAGGGAGGUUCCGGCCGCCUGGGGGGAGGGGAAGGGGGGAGGGGCGGGGAAACCCCGCUCGCAGGCAGCCGGGCCACCCCAACCAAGCGCUAAUAAAAUCGCCACCGAGGCGUGGCCGCCGCUCGGGCUUUCUUCCUAGGGGGCGCUCCGGAGCGCGGGCGGGAGAUGCACACGAGGGAGCGGGACUCUUUGCCCUCUCUGGGCGGAAGGAACGCGGUCACCCUGAGAAAGGACCGGCGCGACCCGACUGGGCGACCGGGGGGAGCGGCCCCCCCCCUCUGCGGACCGGGCUGCAGGCACGGGCCUGAGCGCGGCGUUCCUCAGAUGUCUGGACCCGCAGGCCGCUCAGUUUCCCGGUGUCCGCUGGCAGCCUCGAGCUAGGGGCGCGCUCUGGCCCGCGGUGCAGUCGCGCAGUAUAGCAGGGCGGCCUUGGGGCUCUGAGGCCCAACCGGCGAAAGAAGUAGACUCGGCCCUAACCAUCUCGACGCUACAAUUUUUGUUUCUGGAUCUCUGAAGUAGGGCCCAGUUCCCGAGAGAGAGUCUGGGGAUGACGGGAUGAGUUUCCGGGGCUGAGCGAUGCAACUGUUUUUUGCUGAAGCCCCUCUCCCCGAUCCUAACCCUACUGUCUUAUUCUUACCAUCUUUCUUUCCUUUUUUUUCUUCUCUGUUUUAAUAGCUGGGGAGUGAGUGCUGUGGAGUGAGGGGGAAAUAAGAUAAACAUGAGACCUGGCCCAGUAGACGCGUUUUCAGUUCUUGCUGACCUGCGGUCUCCGCUUGGAGCGCUGGGGGAGAGGGCGGAGUCCCCCGGCAGAGGUGAAGCGAGAGCUGCUUUCUGGCAGCGUUUCCAGCCUGGAAGGAGUUGUGCUCUGUAAUGCUUUUCUGAAUUGCAUUCGGCGAAAGGAGUAGGAAACUGCGUUUAUUCCUUCACCAGAUUUGAGGGCAUCUGCUGCGUGCCAGGCUGCCUGGCAUUGGGGGCUGUUUAUGAUUUUCUUUUCCUCUUUUUCUGAUUUCUUCCCCCCCACUGACGAAUAAGUAGAAAUAAGUGAGGAUUUAACUGUGAGCCUCUAGUAUGCAGAUGUAUGCUGAGCGGUAUUGGGGUUCAGCAGAUACUCUCCAAACACUUGAAAAUACUGUCUUGUAAUAAUUCUAUUAUGGGUCAAUCCAGAGUGGAUCAAACCAGAAAUGAACGUCUCUGGCCAGAGCAAACCUUACUGAGAGAAAUAAUAUAUCUAACUCAGGAAUUGAGCCAAGAAAACCCUGGGAAGUAAAUAUUUCUGAAGUGAAAAGUCUCCUGUGUGUGUACAAAACUAUCUGGUUCUAGUAGUAGAGAUAGUCUCAUCUCUCUAUUAAAGCUUAAUGUGAUUCCAUUAAAUAUUUGAAUCAUAAAACUGGACCUUUUAUUCUGUUCCUUUUCUCAAUAAAUGCAGUUCUGAAUAUUAUUUUAAUUCCCGUAUAGUUUUCCUACAAGGAGAGAAUGCCCUGGCCAAAUGAAAUGAAUAGCCAUUUUCCUUGACAGUCGUUAUUUUUCAUUACAAAUUAAUACACUGGUGACACUGUAGUAAUGUGGAGAAAACUUGACAUGUCAAUAAGUAAUGCUGGGGCAAUGCAUAUCAUGUGGAAAGAAAGUAACCUUGAUGCCUACUCAUACUGAAAAAAAAAAUCAAAAUACGUUGU
rnacentral:lncRNA from 1 species